UACGUAGGGGGCUAGCGUUGUCCGGAUUUAUUGGGCGUAAAGAGCGUGUAGGCGGCCAGGUAGGUCUGCUGUGAAAACUCGAGGCUCAACCUCGAGACGUCGGCGGAAACCAUCUGGCUAGAGUCCGAAGAAGAGAGUGAGUACUCGGUGUAGCGGUGAAAUGCGCAGAUAUCAGGAAGAACACCCGUGGCGAAGGCGGCUCUCUGGGCCGAUACUGACGCUGAGGGAGCGAAAGCGUGGGGGAGCGAACAGG
rnacentral:rRNA from 1 species